rnacentral:lncRNA from 1 species
UUUUUUUUUUUUUUAAUCACCCAAGCUAGAUUGUAAACUCCCCAAAGACAGGACCAAAUAUCUUCUUUCUGUUUUCUCCACAAUUCAAGCACAGAUCCAAGCAUGUUAGGGGAGCAGGAUAAACAUUUGUUAAUUAAUCAUAAAAGAUGCAUCUGUUCUCUUUCAUUUCUGUCCCUUGGAUCAUGAAGAUGCAAGAAUAAGACAUAACACUUCUUGGGGGCAUUUAAAUCUUCAAAGUCUUUUGUUUCAAAGGCUUUACCUUCUGUGAAGGUUAGUGAACUAUGAUUUUGCUCUAAAUGCACUUCUGUCAUUGGCUAAAAGCAAUGGCAUUUUUGAGAAACUCUGAAUAAAUAUUAUAUAUAUAUAUGUGUAUAUAUAUAUACACAUAUAAAAUAAAAAUAUGUAUAUUUGAGCAAAGACUAUUCUAUAUCCCUUGAUUACUUAAAAUUCCUGCCUCCCUUGCUCUCAAGGCUCCUUUCGUCCUUUUUUUUUUUUUUUUUUUACCUGUGUAAUACUUACUGCUAGCAUGAUGACUUUACUUAUUUUGAAUGUUUGUCACCUGUCUGUCCCCACUAGAAUGUAAGCUGUAAAAGGGCCUGGAUUUUUGUUCGUUUGUAUCUUUUGCACUUGGCUAGGCCUUCGUGCACAGUAGGCGCUGAAUACAUCAGGAUUGAAUAAAUCAAUGACAGAGGCUGUGCUUCCGAGUGGAAAGGACAUUGAGCCAGGAGAUGUACCAUCUCUUUCCCCUGGCUCUGUCAAUAAGUAGCACUUCUGUUUUUAGGUUGCUUUUUUCCCAUCUGUAUAAUAUGAGGGGAGGCAUGUUAAGUCAUGUGUCCUUAAUGUCUCUGCCAUCAUUAAAAUCCUCCAUAAACAGAAAAGCAUUUUUAAACAGUAUAUUGAACCACACCCUAGCAAAAUUAUAAAACGUUACUUCCUAAUGUUGGUAGAUUUUCUUAAAUUUUCUAAAAUAUCCUUCUUUAAGUGAUGGUUUUGAGUUACAGUAGGAGAAAAAAAAGUUUCUUAAAAUAAGGGGCCACAGGUCACAGUCCUAGGUCUACCUCAGACUUGCUGUGUGACCUUUGGUGAUUCACUUAACCUCUCUCGAGACAAAUUUCUUCUACUGUGAAAUGGAAAUUAAUAAUUAGCAAGGUUGCUAUCGAGUGAAUGCUACCAAGGGAAUGUUUGAAAAACAGAUAGCUCUGUGUAACUGUAAAUUAAUAUUAUAAUUAUUAUUAUUAUAGGUCUGAGGAUAAUCUUAGAUGAGUGCAUCUCAGACCAUCUGUUCUGAUAGGCUGACUGGUUUUAUCUUUUAAUCUGUUAUAUUCUGAGGGCAUCUAUAAAGCACAAUAAAAGUGACUUGAUAGAACAAUGAAAUGAAAAAAAAAACAAUAUACAAGCCCAAAUUUAAAAUUUAUUUUUAGAUUUAAUAGAAAAAAAUAUUUCUUUGUCCAAUUGCUAUAAAAGCUUGUGAACACUUACUCCCAAUUUCUGUACUUUGCUGGUUAUGGAGCAGCACCAGCUGACACCUCGCUGGCCUCUAAUGAUUCUUCUGGUUUGAUUACUGUCAUCAACGAGAGACUGAUCAGAGAGGUGUGUUUUUUAAAAAAUUAUUAUUUUCUGUUCAUAACUCAACGAUUGUUAGAUUUUCUUUUAUAUGUAAUGUCUCAAGAGGUUAACUGACCUAUAGAGAUGAUAAAAUUCAUAAGCAAAAAUUAUAGAAAUUGAACUAAUAAAAAAAAGCAUGGGUAGGAACAACAACAAAAAAGCACUGUGCAAUCUUCUAGGGAGAGAAUUUUCCCUCUCGUUUUAAAAUUUCAUUCAAGUGUACGGCACUGACAAUGCUGGAACCUGUUCAAUCUGGUGUGGGGGUGUCCUUGAGUGCAUGCAUUUACCUCCUUUUCCUUAGCAUCUUCUCCAAGCUUCUGUUACUACCUUGCAGCAUGCUGCUAGCAGAGGGGAAAGGUAACCAUGAAGCAACGGGAAAAAAAUAAAUGAGUGGAACUUGCUUUUGCAAACUAAUUGAAAUACUUGUAGUCACCACACAGGACUUGUUAGAGACUUUCUGAGAAAGAAAGAGUCUGUCUGAAUGAUAAAUUAAUUGUCCACCUUACUGAUACAGUGCCAAGGACACAGACUGAGAUUUAUCAUGCACGCUGGAAAAUUCUGAGGCAUAAAUUAUGGUGGCUUCUACAUUGCUAACAUGAGUGUGGCAAAUACGGUGUGAUUUCCACAAAUUGCAACUGACGCAUAAGAGAAAGUUUUGAGCAUAGAAAACACAUUUGUGGCUUUGAUGGCAACUUAAGGACAUGAUCUUCCACCAUUUCUCUCUCUGCACCCAGCCCCUGGUGCAAGCAGAAUUGGAAAGGUGUUGGAUCCUUUUGCCUGGCUAUACUUUGGCACUCAGCUCCUUCUCCCUGAAUGUUCCCCCUUAGUUACCAGGUAAAUCCUAUUCCUUCUUCAAGUGUCAUCUCCGCUCUGAGGCCUGACUCAAUACUAUUGGGCAGAGGAUGUAGGGCCCCAGUCUCCACAGGGCUUGGCACAGCCUAGCUGCUCAGUAAACCUGAGUGCUCCACUGUCCACAGCCCUUGCCCAGCUCUCCUCCACUGUACACUUACCACUGGCGAUGGUGGCUGCUGGUGCUCCGGUCAAGACACCGAGUACUUCCAGGGAAUGGAGUCUUUAUUUCAUUUUGUAUUCCCUCCAUAAAUGUUAGUGAAUAAGGGCUUUCAUUCGUUCAUUCAUACCUCCAUGCUGGUUUUUGUUUGUUUCUUCUGUUCAAUAAUCUAAUGUCUAUCUUCAUCAGUUUUGGAGAACAGGCUUCAUUGUCAGGACCUGAGCUAUGUCCCCCCUUUUACCCAUUAAACAAUUUGGGGUGUCUUUUCUCAAAGUAUUGCCUCUGGGUUAUCUACAUCAAGAUCACCUGGUGAACUUGUUAAGUGCAGGUUUCCAGAUUGCACCCCCCCACCUAUAAAAUAUGGAGUCCUUGUUUAGCACUGUUUUUACUUCCAGUUAGUUCCAUGUUCCUACCCUUAUUCAGUGAAAGUAGAAUGAAGAGCAGGGUGCCUGGGUGGCACAGUCAGUUGAGCGCAGGACUCUUGGUUUCAGCUCAGGUUGUGAUCUCAAGGUCAUGAGAUCAAGCCCCGCCUUCGGCUCUGCGCUCAGUGUGGAGUCUGCUUGGGUUUCUCUCCCUCUCCCUCUGCCCUUACCUAAAAUAAGUAAAUCAAUUUGAAAAAAAGCAAAAGUAGAGUGAAGAGAAAAAGUGAUCGCAUUUUCAACAAGCCUUCCAGUGACUCUGGCACACCCUAAAAUUUGAACACUCUUUCUGUGUGGAUGUUACUAACAAUUAUUCUGUAAUCUCUUGAAAGAGUUUACCUUGCUCCAGGGAUAGCUGCCUUGUCUGUUGUCACUCUGCACAGGGACGGAGCCAGGGCCUGAUGUUAGACCCAGGCUAUCGACAGGGCAGCCCAGCCCUUACUGUAGAGUCAGGGUUUCUGGAGGAAUGGUUGUGAUGACAGAUGAUGCAUGAUCAUCAGGGACCAAGACCCAAGGCCAGAAAGAUCAAUUUUGGUUUAUUUGAAGGGCCCAGGUUUCGUUUUCAUACACAUUUAAUUCUCCUGCUCAGUGUAUCCAAAUGCUCUUGUCUCUUUAGAAAAAAAAAAAAAAACAAAAAAAACAAAAAAAACAAACAAACCCUGGAUGGGACAGUUUGAUGGUUUUCUUUUUUAAUGUAUCAUGCCUUGGGCUUCUCAAGAACAUAGUUUUAGCACUAUUUUUACUUUUACUUUACUCAGAUAAUCCAUGCUCCCCACCCUUAUUCAGUGAAGCUACAGUGAAAAGAAAAAUGAGUUCUUAGAAGAUUGGUCAUGAAAAGGUUCUCAUUUAUGCCCAUGAGGGAAAGGGAAAAAGAUUUCUAAGCUUGGCGCAUUUUUUUUCUUUUUUCUUUCCUUCUUUUUCUUUUCUUUUUUUUUUCCUGCUCUCCUAGCUUUUUGUCCCUGCAGCAGGACAAAUGAAUAUAAAGGAAAAAUCUACGUCAAAAAAAUCUUUAGAAGCUCUGAGCAUAAUAAAUGUUAAAUCUUCAGGAUAAGGAAAAUUGUGUCCCUCUGUAAUGCUCUGCAAAAUGUAUUCUAGGGGAUGCAAAAAGAGAUGGAACAGGAAAGUCACAUUAAAGUCAUUUACCAAGUUUGAAGCAGGAACAAAAAUCAGUCAAAAAUACUCAUAGUCAAAGAUUUAGAGAUUUGUCUGAUAGAAUGUGAAAUGGAAUGUUUUGAUUGUUUACUUCAUAAGGCAUCUAGAGAUGUUUGUGAGAAUUGUUUAAUAUAUGCUGUUGGACUUUAAGAAAGAAAAAGGUGCAGGAUCAGCUUUGAAUAAUGGUCCCUAGAACACAUAAAGUCACUUAGAAAAUGUGAAUAAGUUGUUCAUGGCCCAGAUAUUUAGAAUAAUUAAAAGCAGAGGCUUCUAAAUGAUAGGGGAAUCAAAAGUCCAAUGCAUAUACCAAACAAUUGGAAAUCAUUUCCUCAAACACAUUUGAUGACCAAGAAAAUCAUGCUUACAAAAGCCAGCUAAGUGAUAUGGAAAUUUAAGAAAACAUGAAAUGUAAUUUAAAAAUUCAAAUAGAAUCAAACACCAUUAUGCUGUUACUCAUUUCAGAGUCAAAGAUAAGUGGCUAAUGCAGUGAAGGAAAGGGUCGAAAAUUUGAAACAGGUCAAGAAAUCCACUGAUCCAUUCAUUAAGUCAGAAGCAGGCUCUUAACUCAGCACCUGUCCGGUGCCAGGCGCCAUUGAAGACACUAAAAUGUAGCAGAGAGAAAAGAGGGAAAAACCUCAUUGUUAAGAGGUUAUAUUGUCAUGGGGGCAGACGAUAAGCACAUAAACAAACACUACAAAAUCUUUCAAAUAUCAAGACAUGCUAUGAAGAAAAUAAACCACCCCAAGAAACAUGAAACAAAAUGAGAUGAGGAGGAACUGGAGAUGGGGUGGAGUGUGUUUGCUAGAGACUCAGAUAGAGCACCCUGCAGGAGUUGACAUUCAUGCAGAGGCUUGAAUGAUGUGAAGGCAUGACCCAUGCAGUCAUUUGGAGAAAAGAAGUUUGGCAAAAGGAAGCACAAGCGCUAAGAUCAAGAGAGAGGAAGGAGGAAGUUUUUGAGGGACAGAGAGGCUAGGAUGGCUGGAGCAUGGAGAAUGGAGGGAAGAGAUUAGGAAGUGUAGUAAAAAAAAAAAAAAAAAAAAAAAAA